CAGCAAUUCCAGGAACAGAAAAGCGACCACUUUCUGGAAGGAUCCAGUCUACAGUCAUAACAUUUGUUCCCUGGCCAGGAAACCCAGCCACACUGGCCCACUGUUGCCACCAGCUUGGGAACAACAGCAGAGCAAUGAUGGAACAAGGGUCAUAACACCCUAGGUUAGGCGCACCCUGCCUAAUCUUUGGCAGUCUCCCACCCGCUUGCCUCGGAGCAGCCCAGCUCCGCUGUUCCCGCCGGACUCCAGGAGAUUUGGCAGGUCUCAGCUGUCACCCAUGGGUCCACCACUCCAGAGUAAAAAAGCCCAUCACCUGGAUGAGAAGCCACAACAGUGGAAAGUCCAGCCAAACCUGGCAGACCUGCUCCGGCUUCGCCUCCAAUGAGAACCCACUGACUGCCCGGCGUCAUCCCUGCUUCUCACUGGCACGAUAUUCCUCAUUCUAGGGGUCAGACUCUACACCGUUGUCCCCUUCUGACUAGACAUUCCCCCAGAGACUUGCCGUUGUUAUUGUUUACCAGAUGACCCUAGGCUCUUUUACUGCCCUUACUUGUUCGCAGGUUUUCUCUGCUGUUGGGCUCGCCAUAAUGGCUCCCUCUAACUAAGGCGUGGGCCCCACUUGUAUUGGCCCUCUGCUCUCUACCCCUACAGGCAUUCCACUGUUGUUUUCCCAACCCCAGUCAGUCCUGGUCUUCUGCUACCUGGUGUGUUCCUCCUCCCUGCCUUUAGCUCACCCAACCCGGCAGUGGAGGGCAAACACCCACACGAUCAAUCAUGCAUGCCUGUCCGUCUCUUACCCGAUCUUUCAGUCCUCCCCGGGAGCGAUGCUCCACUUAUACAAAAACCUCCUAGCCGCCCUGACACACCCCCAUGGCCCUUCCCCUUCUUGUGAGCCUGUUGGCCAUGUCAGGAG